rnacentral:rRNA from 1 species
GGCUAACUCGGUGCCGGAGGCGGGGGUAAUAAGGGGGGUGCAAGCGUUAGCCGGAUUCACUGGGUUUAAAGGGUGUGUAGGCGGGUAUUUAAGUCCGAAGUGAAAUCUCUGAGCUCAACUCAGAAACUGCCUUGGAUACUAUUUAUCUUGAAUAUCGUUGAGGUAGGCGGAAUAUGUCAUGUAGCGGUGAAAUGCAUAGAUAUGACAUAGAACACCAAUUGCGAAGGCAGCUUGCUAAACGAUGAUUGACGCUGAGGCACGAAAGCGUGGGGAUCAAACAGGAUUAGAUACCCUAGUAGC